rnacentral:rRNA from 1 species
UACGGAGGAUCCAAGCGUUAUCCGGAAUCAUUGGGUUUAAAGGGUCCGUAGGCGGUUUGGUAAGUCAGUGGUGAAAGCCCAUCGCUCAACGGUGGAACGGCCAUUGAUACUGCCAGACUUGAAUUAUUAGGAAGUAACUAGAAUAUGUAGUGUAGCAGUGAAAUGCUUAGAGAUUACAUGGAAUACCAAUUGCGAAGGCAGGUUACUACUAAUGGAUUGACGCUGAUGGACGAAAGCGUGGGUAGCGAACAGG